GAGUUUGAUCCUGGCUCAGGACGAACGCUGGCGGCGUGCCUAAUACAUGCAAGUCGAGCGAGCUUGCCUAGAUGAUUUUAGUGCUUGCACUAAAUGAAACCAGAUACAAGCGAGCGGCGGACGGGUGAGUAACACGUGGGUAACCUGCCCAAGAGACUGGGAUAACACCUGGAAACAGAUGCUAAUACCGGAUAACAACACUAGACGCAUGUCUAGAGUUUGAAAGAUGGUUCUGCUAUCACUCUUGGAUGGACCUGCGGUGCAUUAGCUAGUUGGUAAGGUAACGGCUUACCAAGGCAAUGAUGCAUAGCCGAGUUGAGAGACUGAUCGGCCACAUUGGGACUGAGACACGGCCCAAACUCCUACGGGAGGCAGCAGUAGGGAAUCUUCCACAAUGGACGAAAGUCUGAUGGAGCAACGCCGCGUGAGUGAAGAAGGGUUUCGGCUCGUAAAGCUUUGUUGGUAGUGAAGAAAGAUAGAGGUAGUAACUGGCCUUUAUUUGACGGUAAUUACUUAGAAAGUCACGGCUAACUACGUGCCAGCAGCCGCGGUAAUACGUAGGUGGCAAGCGUUGUCCGGAUUUAUUGGGCGUAAAGCGAGUGCAGGCGGUUCAAUAAGUCUGAUGUGAAAGCCUUCGGCUCAACCGGAGAAUUGCAUCAGAAACUGUUGAACUUGAGUGCAGAAGAGGAGAGUGGAACUCCAUGUGUAGCGGUGAAAUGCGUAGA
rnacentral:rRNA from 1 species